UGCAAGUCGAGCGGACAGAUGGGAGCUUGCUCCCUGAUGUUAGCGGCGGACGGGUGAGUAACACGUGGGUAACCUGCCUGUAAGACUGGGAUAACUCCGGGAAACCGGGGCUAAUACCGGAUGCUUGUUUGAACCGCAUGGUUCAAACAUAAAAGGUGGCUUCGGCUACCACUUACAGAUGGACCCGCGGCGCAUUAGCUAGUUGGUGAGGUAAUGGCUCACCAAGGCAACGAUGCGUAGCCGACCUGAGAGGGUGAUCGGCCACACUGGGACUGAGACACGGCCCAGACUCCUACGGGAGGCAGCAGUAGGGAAUCUUCCGCAAUGGACGAAAGUCUGACGGAGCAACGCCGCGUGAGUGAUGAAGGUUUUCGGAUCGUAAAGCUCUGUUGUUAGGGAAGAACAAGUACCGUUCGAAUAGGGCGGUACCUUGACGGUACCUAACCAGAAAGCCACGGCUAACUACGUGCCAGCAGCCGCGGUAAUACGUAGGUGGCAAGCGUUGUCCGGAAUUAUUGGGCGUAAAGGGCUCGCAGGCGGUUCCUUAAGUCUGAUGUGAAAGCCCCCGGCUCAACC
rnacentral:rRNA from 1 species